rnacentral:rRNA from 1 species
UACGAAGGGGGCAAGCGUUGUUCGGAAUUACUGGGCGUAAAGGGCGCGUAGGCGGCUUAUCAAGUCAGGCGUGAAAUUCCCGGGCUCAACCUGGGGGCUGCGCUUGAUACUGAUUGGCUUGAAUGCGGGAGAGGAUAGUGGAAUUCCCAGUGUAGAGGUGAAAUUCGUAGAUAUUCGCAAGAACACCAGUGGCGAAGGCGGCUCACUGGCCCGAUACUGACGCUGAGGCACGAAAAGCGUGGGGAGCAAACAGG